ACAGUUUGCUAGGGGCGCUGGAUGAGUCCGGCUGAGAGGAAACCACUCUAAUGUUUCGACCCUUGGGACAACUGUCCCAUACCUGAUCCGGGUAAUGCCGGCGUAGGGAUGUAUAUCAUAUAAUAC
rnacentral:ncRNA from 1 species